UACGAAGGGGGCGAGCGUUGUUCGGAAUCACUGGGCGUAAAGGGCGCGUAGGCGGCCCUCCUUGUCGCGUGUGAAAGCCCCGGGCUCAACCUGGGAACGGCGCGCGAGACGGGGGGGCUGGAGUUCGGGAGAGGAGCGUGGAAUUCCCAGUGUAGAGGUGAAAUGCGCAGAUAUCGGGAGGAACACCAAUGGCGAAGGCAGCACUCUGGGCUGGUACUGACGCUGAGGAGCGAAAGCGUGGGGAGCGAACAGG
rnacentral:rRNA from 1 species